UAUUGUAGCCUCUAUCAUCAC
ensembl:piRNA 21ur-713 ncRNA